rnacentral:lncRNA from 1 species
UUUUUUUUUUUUUUUUUUUUAAUUUAUUUAUGAUAGUCACACACACAGAGAGAGAGAGAGAGGCAGAGACAUAGGCAGAGGGAGAAGCAGGCUCCAUGCGCCGGGAGCCCGACGUGGGGAUUCAAUCCCGGGUCUCCAGGAUCGCGCCCUGGGCCAAAGGCAGGCACUAAACUGCUGUGCCACCCAGGGAUCCCUGACGCUGCCCUUCCUGUUUAACAUUUGAUGCUACUUGUCGCCAGUGUCCCAGUGUUUCCGAAUGUCCCAUGCAUCUGGACACUGGUGCCCACAGAGUGGACAGCUCAUUUUAAGAAAUCAUUUAUAUUAUUGAGCACUUAGUGUUGUGAGUAGGAAACACAACUACUCGGGAGUGCAUGACCAGGCAGACGGGCUUUCGGAUGUCUGGCAGCCAUGUGGGCAUCAGGCUAGGUCUGUUCUAGACGUAGCAUCGGGAACACAGCUCUGGUGCCCUGGUUCUCUGGCUUUCCCUUCCUGUGCCGGCCUCAUCCUCAGGCUGGCUUCCCUCUUCAUUUUGUGGUCAUGUCCAUGUAGAGACAGACCUCUUGCAGUCAGUGGCACAAGAACCCAAAGCUUCAUUCUGUGGACUUACCCGCCAGCUGAUUGCUGUGACCUGAGAAGUGCUGAGUGUGGAAGGGCCUACGUCUGGGUCUCUCCCUCAUUCUUGAAAUAGUGGUAGUGGCCCCAGGCUGAAGCUGUUCAUGCCCUGACGUUCCCAUCUGGUCAUUCCAUCCAGAUCCCAGUCCAGGGGAAGGAGGGAGGAUCUAGGGAGGUGGCCUGUGGCAUCAAGUGAAUGGGCUUAAAAUCGCAUGGCUGCUCUGGCCUUAAUCAUCAGACUGAAGUCUUGCUGCAUGUGGCAUUUCCUUUGGGAAGUGCUGUCACUGCCAUGGUCACCAGGAGAGCCCUCAGUCCCCUCUGUGGCAGGGGGCUGGCCAGGGGUGCCCCCAGGAGCUAAGAGUUGCAGCCUCAUGCCUGCUUGUCUCAAUGUGCCUGGCACACCUCUGUCCCCACACAUCCCUUCCCGUCAUCUGCACGAACUAUCGCUCAGGCCACUGGGUGGGGGGCACUGGGAGAGACGGGGGUUGGUGGGGAAUGAAAUCUGCAACUGCACAUGCGGAGGCCUUUGUGGUGAGCCCUGACCAGUGUGGAAGGUGGCUGGGAAGGACCGCAAGUCCGGCCAUGUGAGCCUGAGCAAGUUUCCCCCCUCCACAGGCGCCUCAGCCUGAAAUGGGGCAGUGAGUAUUUCAACGGGGGGUUCUUGUUCCAGUGGAAGUCCUACUACCUCACAAGUGGACCCAGCCUUUGAGAACAAAGCCCACCAUCCUAUUGGCCUUCUGUUUCUGUGUCUCCUGCUUCCUCCCUCUCCUUCUCGAACAAAGAAAGCAGACAUUUUGGGCCCCCCACCCCCAUCCCCGGGGACUCCCAUCCAGGGCUGGUCAGAGCUGGGCUGCAGGUGCACGCAUGCCGCAGCCAGCGGCCCCAGGGACAGCGCCCAGAAGAGGCAAGUCUGGUGCCUUAGGAUCUGCAGCAGAAGUGGCCCAUGUGGCGCCUGCUGGGAUUCCACUGGCAGCUGGCUCCCCUCAGAUCUGUGUGCAGGCUGGGGGGCAUCUGCUGCAGGUUCCAGAGGAGGCAGCCAAGACCAGCCACUCUGGCAGACCCAAGUCAGUGUGGUCAGGAAGCGGCACGGGGAAGCUUGUUGCCUCUGGCCCAUCUGGGAACUGAGAGACCAGCAGCCACUGUCUCCAGGCCCCUGUGCGUCCCCUGCAUCGUCCCGGUUCCGCCAGCUCCUGGCAUCUUCGUCCUGGUGGGAUGAGGCUGUCUUUUCAGGUUCCCUUGUCCUGCACAGUGCGCUCGUGAAAGGCACAGGGCAGAGAGUGGAGGGGUGAAGCGAGGAGUGCCAGCUCCCAUUUCACACAUGGCCACCUGGUCCCAGAAAGUGGGACAGGGUGUGGGAAACAGGCCUGGGACAGGGCCCGGCGGCCCCUCGCUCUACAGCAGUCCUGGUGCACCUGGGCACAGUUGCCUGGAGCCGAGGAUGGGGGUGCAGCACCAACAGGGAUGCGCUCCCCAAGUGCUGAGCUUACAUUCUGGUGGUGUCAGGCAGCAGUGAGUGGGCCAGAGAAGCAUGAGACACGGAGUUAGGCCACGGUGGAGAACAGGGCAGCAGGAGAACCGGGAGCCAGCUGAGGCCUGAGGCGGGGGCACACUGGGCAGUCAGCAAGUCUGCCCAGGAGUGGACAUCUGACACAAACCCGAGGACACCAGGGGAGUUUUAGUGAGGUGGAAUGAGAUUUCCCUCCCCCGGAACGGCCCAGAAGAGGGGAUCUGAGUUCAACACCAUUCCCCAUAAGGCAGUGGUGGCAGCACCUUGUCACUAUAGUUGACAUUUGUUAAGCACGUGGCAUGUGCUCCAGACUUGUCACAAACACUGGUGUUCUCGCCACGUCAUCCAGUGUGCAGAUGGGGAAGCUGAGGCUCAGGGAGGCUCGGAGGCUCGAGUGAGAUCGCAGAGCGUGGAUGUGAGGGGUGCUGGGGGUGGCAUGUGGGGCUGCAUCACCCUGAGCCUUUGCCCCGACCCCACUGCAGGCUGCCCCAUGCUUACCAGCCUUCACCAGAUGCCCUAGAGGAAGACAUAUAGUAUUUUCAUCAUGUUGUGUAAAUGUCUAGAGUCAUCGGAAUGAGUUAGUACUCGUGAAAAUGUAGAAUGGAACCUGGCACAUGGUACUCCAUACUCCUAGCAAGUACCUGCUGUCAUUGCCACCACUCGAUGAGAAACGAGGCCCUCACUCAAUAAAUGAUGGAAAAGGAGUGGAAUAAUGGAGCCAACAUGAACAGAAGCCCUGAAGCCAUACUGCCUGGAUUUAAAUCCAGACUUUACUUCUGCUGUGUGACUCUGGGCAAGUUUCUUCACCUCUCUGAACCCAUUUCCUCAUUUGUAAAAUGGAGGUGAUACUAGUCCUUGCCUUAUGCAUUGGUUGUGGGGAAUAAAUGAGAUGGUGUAUGUACGCUGCAGAAAACAGUGUUGUAGAUGGAAUGGUUUGGGUCUCCUUGAAAGAUAACAGGAACAUGUUAAAUAUAUUCAUCUCUGCCCCCAGUUCCUCCUCCAUCACUUGGAAUUUCCUGGGUGAUAGCAGUGUCUUCUGUUCCGAUGAGGUGACUGGGCGGGCUGGUCACCGGAGACCAAGCCGUGAUUUGAAGCUUGGGAUUCUCAGCUUCCCACCCACCUCUUCUCUAGCAAGGGGAGAGGGCUGGAAAUGAAUUUAAUGAUUGUGCCCAGGUGAGGAAGCCUUCAUAAAAUCCCAGAAAGCACAGUAUUCAGAGAGCUUCCAGCUGGUGAACACCAGCUCCACAGAGACAGAAGCUCCUGCCCUCGGCGAACUUUCCAGACCUCGCCCUGUGUACCUCCUCGUCUGGCUGUUCCGCUGUGUCCUCUAUCAGAUCCUUUUAUAAUAAACCAGUAACCUAG